rnacentral:rRNA from 1 species
CCUACGGGAGGCAGCAGUGAAGAAUAUUGGUCAAUGGCCGUAAGGCUGAACCAGCCAAGUCGCGUGAAGGAAGCAGGAUCUAUGGUUUGUAAACUUCUUUUAUGGGGGAAUAAAGGUAUCCAAUUGUGGCUAUUUGCAUGUACCCUAUGAAUAAGCAUCGGCUAACUCCGUGCCAAACGCCGCGGUAAUACGGAGGAUGCGAGCAUUAUCCGGAUUGAUUGGGUUUAAAGGGUGCGUCGGUGGGUUUUUAAGUCAGCGGUGAACGUUUGUGGCUAAACCAUAAAAUUGCCGUUGAAACUGGAAGACUGGAGUGUGUGUGAGGUAGGCGGAAUGCGUGGUGUAGCGGUGAAAUGCAUAGAUAUCACGCAGAACUCCGAUUGCGAAGGCAGCUUACUAAGCCAUAACUGACACUGAAGCACGAAAGCGUGGGGAUCAAACAGGAUUAGAGACCCCAGUAGUC